rnacentral:tRNA from 1 species
AAGUAAAGAAGUAAAUAUUACAUUUAGUUUCGACCUAAAAAUAGAGUUAAACUCCAUACUUU